GCUAAGCAAGAAGGGGCCAACGUCAGCGAAACAAUGAAGAGAACAAGGAUCCCGACAGAUUGUACUGCAUACGCUUGCGUACAAUGCUUGACGGCUACUGUAAAAACGCUUGAAGAAGCACACACCAAUAUCAUGGGGAGAGUCGUCCUUGCCAAUAUGGCCGCAACGUUAGCAUGGAAAGUGGACUGUUUCCUACAUGAAGAAUCUUUGGCUGGAUGGCCGUUAAGUCGCUUUCAAA